ensembl:lncRNA
AUUUAGCUUUAUUGACAUGACACCCAAACCCGCGUGUCCGUGCGCACAGGAACACAAAGGAUCGACUUUCAUUAAGCUGUAAAAUUGAAGUAAGAUCAGCGGAAAUGCGAAGAUAAUAAGACACCAACUUCUCACUUUAUGAACGGGAAACUGUGGAAAUGUGGAACAACACGCACUGUGGGCUUUAUCCACUAACGACUGAACACGGUGAAGAAAAAAAGGGUGACAGAGGGUGUCGUCCGUGACUCUGACACUGAAACAAUCCAGCAGCCAACAGAAAAAAAGCGGAGGCCGAAAAACAGGUGGGGUCCUCCACCACCACCACUCACAGAGGCUGAGCAGUUGGCCCUCAGCCAAAACAGUGGGCGCCCUGUGGCUGAAGGCAUCUCUGCAGGGACAUCCUCUGAGUCAAUAACCCCGCAAGACACAAGUGCCUACAUAAGAGUUGAUGGUGAUGGUGUACUGCAUCUGGUGCAGCCUCCUGUUGAGCCAGACCAACAUGCAGUUGUGAGUACUCUUAAUACUCCACAGAUCAUAUGAGUUUACAGUAGAACAGCAAUGUUGUUAAUUUCAUUACUACAGGAAAAUAAUGAAGAAACAUUGACAGCUGUUACAGAGGAGGAAGCAACAGAGACACUUUAUGAGGUUUACAUCUUACAAUGGAAAAUAUAACAAUUGAAUAAAAUGUGGUACUAUAAUAAAACCAUGGACUUUCUAUGUCUCUAACAGAGUGAUGAUGGAAAUGCAGAGGAAGAGGGUCCAGCCACUUCUCCAACAAACCUUUCCUCAGUAAGAUGUUCAGCACUGAUUUACAACCAACCUAAGUAGGCAUGUACUAUGAAUGUCAAUGCUAUUUCCUGUGUUUCAAUAGUUCCCUGUAAAGCAGCUGUAUAAGAAAUAUUUGAUCAAGAAAAUAAAAAAAUGCGACUUGGAAAUGGAACACUUCAAGCAGCAGAUCCAAAAGACCAAGAUUGAGAUUUUACUGCUGGAACAUCAGUUAAGGGUGGGUGAAGUGGUCAGAGAUGGACGAAUUAUUUCAGUGUUUGAACAACAUAAUAAUAUACUUAUUAAUACUUUGUGUACAGGAAAUACAGGCGACCAAUAAAGCCAGUUGAAC